GUAGGGAAUCUUCCACAAUGGGCGCAAGCCUGAUGGAGCAACGCCGCGUGAAUGAUGAAGGCCUUCGGGUUGUAAAAUUCUGUCUUCUGUGAAGAACAAGUGCGAGAAGAGAACGCUCGCGCCCUGACGGUAACAGAGGAGGAAGCCCCGGCUAACUACGUGCCAGCAGCCGCGGUCAUACGUAGGGUGCAAGCAUUAUCCGGAGUGACUGGGCGUAAAGAGUUGCGUAGGCGGUUAUGUAAGCGAAUAGUGAAACCUGGUGGCUCAACCACACAGACUAUUAUUCGAACUGCAUAACUCGAGAAUGGUAGAGGUAACUGGAAUUUCUUGUGUAGGAGUGAAAUCCGUAGAUAUAAGAAGGAACACCAAUGGCGUAGGCAGGUUACUGGGCCAUUUCUGACGCUAAGGCACGAAAGCGUGGGGAGCGAACCGGAUUAGAUACCCCAGUAGUCC
rnacentral:rRNA from 1 species